CGGAGUAAGGGAUUACACUUUAAGAGAAGGUUAUUCCCAAUUCUUAUCUGACAGCAACAAUUUUUCUAACACCUGGCCACAUAAGUACUAGAUUCUAAUCCUAUCUUAAUUUUAAUAAUAAAGAUUACCCUUUCGGCAAUCUGAGUACGGGAUAUUUAUGCGAUACUUUAGGUACUUCGAGGGGUGACAGGAAGAAACCGCUAUCGGGGCUAUACACUGAUAGACGGACAUUCCUUCUGCAGUGUCCCUCAGUCCCCCUCCAUGUCUACUUUUCUGUCUGUUUCUGACGUGGCCUGUCUGCAGUCAAUAUUCCGAUAUAUUGAUUGAUCGAGCUAAAACAAAUUAUGUAUAUAAUUAAAUGCGCGCAAACACACAAACACGAGACUGACAGAGUAAGACAAUAACGGCAGGAGAAUUUCAAAAACAGGUAGUCGGUGAUCAAGAAAAGUUGUCUCCCUCUGACACGGGCUCACCCUGGGCCUAGACAUAAGGUCUCGAGGUUAACGAGAAGCUGGGUGGUCAAGAAUACGUGACACGAUUCCGUGUAGACUGAAUAUCUCAGUAAAUAAUUCUGAAAAUGCUACCAGCAGUCUGAUGGUUAUUGCCAUAAAGUGGCGACUACGCCAUUAGUUGUGUCCCUUUACAACAACAAACACAGUUAAAGGCUCAAGGAACCGACAGAUUAUGACAAUAAUGUAAGGAGAAUUCCAAACACACACUCGCGAGCACAGAAAGAUAGAAGAUAGAAAGCAUUUAUUUUGAAAUGUACAGUUCUACUAUUUUGACAACACACAAGACAACCUUUUACCUUUUUUUCUUAGCAAGUGGACUGUUCCAGCACCUACCUCAAUCUUCAGGAAUCAGUCAGCUCAUUCUUCUGACAGUUCUUCAGAAAAGCGCUGCCAUCACCCACAUGGCUUUUUGUCUCCCUCCAUUCUAUUUUUAGUUUGAGAUAAAACCUUCAAUAUAAAACAAGCUUAUCUUUUUUUCUGUGCCAUAAUUUGGAAAGAAGACUAUGUUCCACAAACGGCAAGUAUCAGCUGGUUUAGUUUGGUUUUAUCUCGUUUGCAUAAAGUAUAUCACGUUUCAGCUUUAAACUUAUUUCAUACAAGGCAACAUAUUUCCACACCAUAUUUGUAGAAAAAUUAAUAGAUCUUGCCCAUGUCUGAGAUAAUCCUGUAUCGGUGAUGUGAUCCACCACUCUCGCAAUCCAAAGCCCUGUCUGGUGAGAUCGUGCUGACCAAACCAUGACUUUGUGCCUGUCAACGGGUGCCAUCGCCAGUCACAGAGACUGUUUAGAAAACUCACAGACACCCGUUUCAUCAUCGUUCACAGAAACACCUGUAUCUGACUGUUUCCCAAUGGAAAAGGACAACCUGUCGUCUGCUUGCGAAGGUCAACAGCAGGGGUCAGGAGAUAACAUUAAUGAUGAAUUUAACAAAAUAAACGACGAGAAACCGAACGACAAAAACACGGAUAUCCAAGAUGGCCUACCUGUGGAUCGCGGUUGGGCCUGGGUCAUCAUGAUAGCCAAUUUCAUGAUCGGCUUAACACUCGGGGGAUAUGGCUGUUCUCUCUCAAUCUUCUUCCUGGAGUUUCAGAUCAUGUUCAACGCUUCGGUUACUACGGCAACCAUUACAUUCGCCCUUAUGACUGUGGCUUUUGGAGUAGGGAAUCUGUUGGUGACGAACGUGCUGAUGACGUCAGAGAACACCCGGAAGCUGGUACUAGUAGGCGCGUGCCUGAGUGCCGUGUCCAUCACCUUGUCUUCCUUCUCGCCGACCAUUUCUUUUCUCAUCAUCUGUCACUGUGUUAUGGGGUUCUCACACGCAAUGAUUGUCAUUCCCAGCAUUACGCUCCAGGGACACUACUUUAAAACCAGACGAUCAUUCGCAACAGCUAUUGCUAACACCGGAGGUAGUGUUGCGGGCAUGGUCUUUCCGCCUCUUGUGCAAUACCUUAUCUCGUCCUAUGGGCCGCGCGGCGCCAUCUUGCUUUCAGGGGGCAUAAACAUGCAAGGCAUCGUAGCCGCUUGCUUGUUACGUCCCGUGGUUUUUUAUCAAAAGUUCUCCCCAAAUCAUGCAGACAAGUUAUCGAGCUCAGAGAACUUGCAAAUUAGCGAAAACCAUCUUAUGAGCAAAAGAAUGAAAUGUGAAGACAAGUCUUUAACCGAUGAAAAUCACGUCACAGAAACGACGAUCGAGACAAGGAGGAGACUUUUAGUCGAUAGCGGCUGUUCGCAAGAAAAAGAGGACGACACAGCAGCAGAAGUCCUUCCCGGGACAAAUCAUGUUGCUCUUAAAUUGAACAUCUCUGACAACCAUCAUAACUGGCAUGAGGCGGCAUCAUCUUUGAAAAUUGUGAGAUCUCGCCAACGUUUUCCGACAAUUCUGGGGGCUUUGUUUUCAAAAGGUCGCCCCUGAACAGCAGCUUGUAUAGCUUGGCCAACGCGCCAUCGGCAUCGCUAGUGGACAUCUGCAGGUCAAACCUCAACUUGAGCACCUUGCUCAGCCCGCAGACUCCUGCUGCCUGCGUCGCAGAUGACACUUCCGGUUUGCCACAAACGGACUGUAGAGAGGCUGCAACGAAAUCCUUGGGACAGAGGUACAUGGCAAAGUUUUUGGAGGUCAUGAAUUUUUCCCUAAUGCGGAACUGGAUGUUUCGCCUCAUCCUCACAUACCAGACUCUGGGCUUCACAAUUGGCUUCGUGGGUCUCUACUUUCCAUCUUUGGCAGUACGCAAUGGUCUGUCUCGGGAGGAGGCAGCUCUUCUGAUAUCUGUGAUUGGAGGAGUGGACCUCUUCAGCAAACUGACCAGCGGCCUGGUAGCGGACUUGGGCUGUAUCCGAAGGACACACCUGGUGGCUAUCGCGCUUGUAAUAACAUCAGUAGCUUGCCAUUUCACCAGGUUUUACACCACAUUCGCCACCUUAGCCUUAUUUGCUGUCGUGUUUGGACUUUUCGCCGGAGUCUGCCCUAAUCUUUCAACUGUUGUAAUAAUUGACCUACUUGGACUCGAGCAUCUGGGAAAAUCCAUGGGACUGUUUCUUGUUGUCAACUCCAUCUUUACAACGGCCAACCAUCCCUUGAUUGGUGCUUUGGUCGAGACAACAGGAAGCAUGAUUCUGCCCUUCCAUUACAUCGGCGUGUGUGUGUUCUUGGGUGCCAUUCUGCUUCUUCUCGAACCGUGCGCGCGGAGGCUGGAGGAGAGGCGAGUGCGUGUGGAAAUGGCGAGAACUUCUAUUUGAAUAGCGAUGCUUCUUCGACGCCCGUCUAAUGCCUAAGUUCUUUAUUUUAAUAAAAACCUUUUUUUUUUUUCAUUCUCAUGCUUUACUUCUCAUUGCCCUCUGGAAUAAAUAAAAUCGCUAUCUUAUAUCCUUUUUUGCUGCUUCACAAAUAAAGUUAUAUUGUCUUCGUAUCAAUAUAAUGGCCUUGUCAUAUUUUAUAUACUUCCUCAGAAUCUUGAGUAAACAUUGGUAUAUGUCGUCGAUCACUGGGUUACUGAGAUAUGUUGCUACACCAUUCACCUAUCAUAGAAUGAAUUUUCUUUCCUUAAGCACAAGGCAGAAUCCUAAUCCUAACCAUAGACAGGCUCUUGAAUAUUUUCAGGGAAGGAUUCAUGGAUGCGAAUGCUUUCAUGUAUGAAUGUUAUAUCUUUCUACAUUUUGAUGUACGAACAGUAGUUUCGUUUACUCCUUGUUACACCUCAAGAAUCGUAUUGCCGCAGAUGUACAAACAGGCAAUUAAUAAACUAUACAAG